GAUCCUGGGUCAGGAUGAACGCUGGCGGCGUGCCUAACACAUGCAAGUCGAGCGAUUCUCUUCGGAGAAGAGCGGCGGACGGGUGAGUAACGCGUGGGUAACCUGCCCUGUACACACGGAUAACAUACCGAAAGGUAUGCUAAUACGGGAUAAUAUAUUUUGAUGGCAUCAUCGAGAUAUCAAAGCUCCGGCGGUACAGGAUGGACCCGCGUCUGAUUAGCUAGUUGGUGAGGUAAUGGCUCACCAAGGCAACGAUCAGUAGCCGACCUGAGAGGGUGAUCGGCCACAUUGGAACUGAGACACGGUCCAAACUCCUACGGGAGGCAGCAGUGGGGAAUAUUGCACAAUGGGCGAAAGCCUGAUGCAGCAACGCCGCGUGAGCGAUGAAGGCCUUCGGGUCGUAAAGCUCUGUCCUCAAGGAAGAUAAUGACGGUACUUGAGGAGGAAGCCCCGGCUAACUACGUGCCAGCAGCCGCGGUAAUACGUAGGGGGCUAGCGUUAUCCCGGAAUUACUGGGCGUAAAGGGUGCGUAGGUGGUUUUUUAAGUCAGAAGUGAAAGGCUACGGCUCAACCGUAGUAAGCUUUUGAAACUGAGAAACUUGAGUGCAGGAGAGGAGAGUAGAAUUCCUAGUGUAGCGGUGAAAUGCGUAGAUAUUAGGAGGAAUACCAGUUGCGAAGGCGGUUCUCUGGACUGUAACUGACACUGAGGCACGAAAGCGUGGGGAGCAAACAGGAUUAGAUACCCUGGUAGUCCACGCCGUAAACGAUGAGUACUAGGUGUCGGGGGUUACCCCCCUCGGUGCCGCAGCUAACGCAUUAA
rnacentral:rRNA from 1 species